UUCAAACAAAAUUUUAAAGUUUUCUCAAAAUUCUCGAAAUUGAAUGUAAUUCAUAAUUUAUUUAUUUGAUGUAAAAGUUUCCCAUCAAUCUUAUAUUUGACAUCUCAUAAACGGUCCCAUCACAGCGGCACUUCUGUAUAAAGGAACUGAAGUGAUCCCCUUUCCUAGCAUUUCUAAAAAAACGGCCCCAUCACAGCGGCACUUCGGAAUACAGGAACUGAAGUGAUCCUAUUAACGCGUCGCAGGGGACAUCAUCGAAAUUCCUGGUGUCCGUCCAUCCGGUCUUG
rnacentral:lncRNA from 1 species